rnacentral:rRNA from 1 species
AUUGAACGCUGGCGGCAUGCUUUACACAUGCCAGUCGAACGGUAACAGGCCUUCGGGUGCUGACGAGUGGCGCACGGGUGAGUAAUGCAUCGGAACGUACCCAGAGGUGGGGGAUAACGCAGCGAAAGCUAUGCUAAUACCGCAUGUGAUCUGAGGAUGAAAGCGGGGGACCGAGCAGCAAUGUUUGGCCUCGCGCCUUUGGAGCGGCCGAUGUCGGAUUAGCUAGUUGGUGGGGUAAAGGCCUACCAAGGCGACGAUCCGUAGCUGGUCUGAGAGGACGACCAGCCACACUGGGACUGAGACACGGCCCAGACUCCUACGGGAGGCAGCAGUGGGGAAUUUUGGACAAUGGGCGCAAGCCUGAUCCAGCAAUGCCGCGUGCGGGAAGAAGGCCUUCGGGUUGUAAACCGCUUUUGGCAGGAACGAAACGGUGUCCGCUAAUACCGGGCGCUAAUGACGGUACCUGCAGAAUAAGCACCGGCUAACUACGUG